GCUUGUCUCAAAGAUUAAGCCAUGCAUGUCUCAGCAUAAGCCUUUUCACGGUGAAACUGCAAAUGGCUCAUUAAAGCAGUUACAAUUUAUUUGAUGGUGACUGUUACAUGGAUAACUGUGGUAAUUCUAAAGCUAAUACAUGCGUCAAGUCCCAACUUGAUGGAAGGGCUGUGCUUAUUAGAUACAAAACCAAUUUAGGCUUGCCUGAUUGAUUGGUGAUUCAUGAUAACUAUACGAAUCGCACGGCCUUGCGCCGGCGAUGGUUCAUUCAAAUUUCUUCCCUAUCAACUUUCGAUGUUUGGGUAUUGGCCAAACAUGGUUGCAACGGGUAACGGAGGGUUAGGGCUCGACCCCGGAGAAGGAGCCUGAGAAACGGCUACUACAUCCAAGGAAGGCAGCAGG
rnacentral:rRNA from 1 species